CUAUGUGGUUGGGAGGCACACUAAAACUGAAGCAAUACAGAAAAGAUUAGCAUGGCCCUUGUGCAAGGAUGACAUGCACAUUCCAUGAAGUGUUUCAUAUUUCU